UUUCAGGAGAGACACUGCUGCCACUACUGCUGCUGCUGCUGAGUCCCACCGAUCCUCUUCGUUCCCUUGAUUAAGCACAUCUGGGUGGUUUACCCGCGUCGUGAUGCUGCGUACCAGGGAGCAGGAACAAAAGCAGAUCUGGACAACCGUGCCAACCAGUUGAAUCCGAACAAUCCUCAUUACAAAGGAGGGAAGAAGUGAGGAAGAAUGGAUAGUUUCUUCUAUAUGACAUAAUGUGAUUAAUCAUAAAAAAAUUGAUAAUUUGUAGCAAAGCUGGUUAAUAAUUCUUGUCUCUGAAAAUUAUGUAGUU